AUUGAACGCUGGCGGCAGGCCUAACACAUGCAAGUCGAACGAGUGGCGGACGGGUGAGUAAUGUCUGGGAAACUGCCCGAUGGAGGGGGAUAACUACUGGAAACGGUAGCUAAUACCGCAUACCAUCGGAUGUGCCCAGAUGGGAUUAGCUUGUAGGUGAGGUAACGGCUCACCUAGGCGACGAUCCCUAGCUGGUCUGAGAGGAUGACCAGCCAAACUGGAACUGAGACACGGUCCAGACACCUACGUGAGGCAGCAGGGGGGAAUAGUGCACAAGGGGCGCAAGCCUGAUGCAGCCAGGCGGCGUGGAUGAAGAAGGCCUUCGGGUUGUAAAGGACUUGCAGCGGGGAGGCGUUACCCGCAGAAGAAGCACAGGCUAACUCCGUGCCAGAAGCAGCGGUAAUAC
rnacentral:rRNA from 1 species